rnacentral:lncRNA from 1 species
GGGCUUCGAGUCUCUGUGAGGGGGGUCUUGUCCCAGCUUGAUGCUAUUAGGACUCAGCUUCUAUCUAGGCCCUCUGCAUCUAGUGAGCCAGCCUUUGUUCAGUCUAUUGCUUUUCGUCCUCCUGCACCCUCUUCUCGAACCAGACCCUUCGGUUGCGGACGAGACUGAUCGUGUCUUCACCUAUCUGUAUCUUAUGCUCGAUGUCCUAUCUCCCUGACUUUAUUUUAUAUUAGAUUACUUAGUUAUAUUUUAUAGAUUGGAUGUAUGAGUGCUUUAUGCUCUUUAUGACUCUUGUAACCUCUAUUUUGGUAUAUAUGAAUGAGGUUGUUUCCUUUCUACUCAUGUCUCUUUGGAUGAAUGUUUAUUAUCAUAUCCCUUUGGUUGUAUGAAUGUUUUUAUUAUGUCUCUUUGGAUGAAUGAAUGCUUAGUAUCAUUUCUUGUUGGAUGGAUGAAUGUGGUAUCAUGCUCUAUUUUCUUGAAACUAGACUUAACACCAUGAACAUCCUACUCUUCUAGUUUAUUCUUUUUGAUGACGUCAAAAAGGAAGAGAAAUAAUAGAACAUAAAAAAUAUAUAAUAAUGAUAAAGGGGG